UGUUUUAAAGGCCACCGGUUCAAAUCGGUGGCAAUAUAAUAAAAAAAAAAAUCGCCCCUAUAUUUUCUUUCACUUUGCGCGUUCUCUCUCUCUUUCCUCCAUCUCGUGUUCUCUCUCCUCUCUCCUCUCUCCUCACUCCUCAACUAGAUCUCCCUCUUCUCUCUCUCUUUCCUCUCUCCACCGUGCCGCCGUCCAUUCCUCCCGCUUCCCUCUGUUCAUGUUUACGGUGCAUCAGUCGGACGGUCCUAGCAACGGUGGCAGUGGCGCAAGGAGCUGAUACAAACCCUCCUCUCGUCGUUUCCCCCUCGCGAAAUGAUUUUCCCUGAAGAUUUCUUGAAAUCAUAUAGAUCUGUGUUUUUGAGCUUUCAAAUUACUAAUGUGUAGUGGAGCGAACUUGGGUACGGGAUUUAACCCAGGUAUUUUGGCCAUGUGAAGGUUGGGUAUGGUGAUGAGUUUGAUGAUGAUGAGGUAAAGGAUGUCUCUUGAUAAUUUUUCUGCAUUUUCGUGAUAAUCUGACCCUAAUUACAGAAAAAAUUGAACUUGAUAUGGGGCUUAUCGAUUUUGUCUUUGAUAUGUAUACUCACGUAGGUUUGUUAUGUUGAGAUUUGAUUUAUAUUUGUGAUCAAUGUUGAAUUUUGGUUUUGUCUAUAAAUCACUUAAUUCUUAAGAAAUAGGUAUGUAGGAACUCAAUUUUGGUCGAACAAUUUAAUUUUGAAGUACUGCUUUUUGCUCGUGAGAUUUGUCAAUAUUUUGUGUGUAUAGUAAUUGUUUCUCGCAUAGGUUUGCUGUGAUGGCUGUGAUGUUUUGGAGCAUGCUGAGUGUGCUGAAAUCUGUGGCAAAAAUCUCAAGGAUUUGGAAGAUGCGGAAUAUUACUGCCCUGAUUGCAAGCCAAAGUUUGCAUUUGAGCCAUCAUACUCUGUAGCUCUACCUGAAGUCAACCCAAAACAACCUGUGCCAUCCGAUGAGGUAACUGUUGCGUGCAAUGGUAUGGAGGCAUCAUAUAUCCCAAGCCUUCACUUGGUUGUGUGUAAGUGUGGUAAAUGUGGGACAAGGAAGUAGUCAUUAAGUGAAUGGGAAAAGCACACUGGUUGUAGAGCCAAGAAAUGGAAGCAUAGCGUCAAAGUCAAAGGCUCAAUGAUCCCCUCGCAUCAGUGGGUAGUUGCAUCACAUAUCUAUGCUGAUAAUCGGGCCCCUAUUGAGAAAUUAAAAGAUGGUGAAGCUCCCCUUUUGACAACUUGCAAUCAAAAGCUGCUUAUAACUGUACGAUGAUGGUUGUAGCUCUUAUUGGUGCUCACCCUGCGAAGAAUUAGUCUGGCCAGAAUUAGAUCAGUUGCUUCGGGAUGAGGAUGAUGAAGUUGGAGGAAGUGGCAAAUAACCAAGCAAAGAAUUCACCAAAUACUACUAUAAGGGCUCACAGUGAAGAAGGUACUAGACAACCUGAUAACGGGCUUAAUGCUGGUUGAGAAUUUGCCUAAAAAUUCAUGUCGUUCAUGCCACUUUGUUUUUCGAGGAAUAUUGUAAUUUUACAGCUUUUUUAUGAAAAACAAUGUAAGUUAAUAUAUAUGUAAGUGUUUACAUAUCA